GCUGGAUACAGUGGUGCAUGUCUGUAAUCCAUCUACUUGGGAGGCUGAAGUAGGAGGAUCACAAGUUUUUGGUUUUGGUUUGGUUUGGUUUUUUGUUUGUUUUUGUUUUACAAGUUUGAGGCCAGCCUCAGCAACUUAGUGAGAUACUAUCUCAA
rnacentral:sRNA from 1 species